rnacentral:lncRNA from 1 species
UGGAAAUUUGAUAAACAGGAGAAGGAAUACUCUAAAUCCCACUAAAGGAAAACACUGAGGUCAGUCACUCCCAUUCACCUUGCAUUUCUGCUUUUGGCUAAAUUGCAGACUGGACACGGAACAACUUCAUCUUUUUUAUUGGAAAAGAAGACCUUCCUUUCUAGGCUUUACUCUACUGCCUCUACCAAACACCAAGUGGAAGAGCCAGCUGCCUUUCAAUCCAGCAGCAAAACUGUGGCACAAGAAUCCAUGUCCUACGCAAGAUCUAGGCUCAGAAUCCUCAACAAGGUUUGGUUGCUGUUUCCAUUCACGUCUCUUUCCAACCUCCUUUCUGAACAGUUAUAAACCUGUUUCUUACACUGAGAAUGAAAUACCUUUGCUGGUUGCAGGCUGACCCCCUCAGAGUAUGGCCAAGGUAAAGACAUCACUUCUAAAGAAAAUCACUGUACUUAGAAAAGCAAAGCAGGGAGCAUUAAAAUGUUUUUCUUUC